rnacentral:rRNA from 1 species
AGAGUUUGAUCAUGGCUCAGGACGAACGCUGGCGGCGUGCUUAACACAUGCAAGUGGAGCGACGAACCAGGGCUUGCCCUGGGGCAAAGCCGCGAACGGGUGAGUAACACGUGGGUAACCUGCCCCGAUGACCGGGACAACCCGAGGAAACUCGGGCUAAUACCGGAUGUGUACCGUGCUCAUGAGGGCACGAUGCAAAGGUAGCUUCGGCCUCCGCAUCGGGAUGGGCCCGCGGCCCAUUAGCUUGUUGGUGGGGUAAAGGCCUACCAAGGCUGCGAUGGGUAGCUGGUCUGAGAGGACGAUCAGCCACACUGGGACUGAGACACGGCCCAGACUCCUACGGGAGGCAGCAGUGGGGAAUCUUGCGCAAUGCGCGAAAGCCUGACGCAGCGACGCCGCGUGCGGGAAGAAGGCCUUCGGGUUGUAAACCGCUUUCAGGAGGGACGAAGCCACUCGGGUUAAUAGCUCAGAGGGUGACGGUACCUCCAGAAGAAGCCCCGGCUAACUUCGUGCCAGCAGCGGCGGUAAUAC